CAUUUUGAACAAUCAGAUCAUAAAUUUCUAAUAAAAAUUAUAAAUGAGCAGAAAUAUUUCGCCUGCAUUUUUGAAUGACUAUAUAUAAUAUGUUGAAAGAUUUGUGAAAGGACAAACUACACAAUUAUUUAGACUUGCAUGGAGAUUCAUAAAAACUGACCUCAUCAUUAAGUCUUGUGAAUCAAAGAUCCAUGAAUAAACACGAAUGUGUCCUCAGUACACGAAUGCCCCACUCGCACUUUCAUUUUCUAUGUUCAGUGGACCGUGACAUUGGGAUAAAAACUCUAAUUUGGCAUUAAAAUUAGAAAGAUCAUAUCAUAGGGAACAUGUGUACUAAGUUUGAAGUUGAUUGGACUUGAACUUCAUCAAAAACUACCU
rnacentral:lncRNA from 1 species